UACGUAGGGGGCAAGCGUUGUCCGGAAUUAUUGGGCGUAAAGCGCGCGCAGGCGGUUUUUUUAAGUCUAGUGUAUAAUCCACGGGCUCAACCCGUGUUCGCACUGGAAACUGGGAGACUGGAGUGUAGGAGAGGAAAGUGGAAUUCCACGUGUAGCGGUGAAAUGCGUAGAGAUGUGGAGGAACACCAGUGGCGAAGGCGACUUUCUGGCCUAUAACUGACGCUGAGCGCGAAAGCGUGGGGAGCAAACAGG
rnacentral:rRNA from 1 species